ACUACCAUGCAAGUCGAACGGCAGCACAGGGGAGCUUGCUCCCUGGGUGGCGAGUGGCGGACGGGUGAGGAAUACAUGGGAAUCUGCCCCGACGUGGGGGAUAACGUAGGGAAACUUACGCUAAUACCGCAUGAUCUGGAGACAGCAAAGCGGCGGACCGCAAGGCGUCGCGCGACGGGAUGAGCCCAUGUCGGAUUAGCUAGUUGGCGGGGUAAAGGCCCACCAAGGCGACGAUCCGUAGCUGGUCUGAGAGGAUGAUCAGCCACACUGGAACUGAGACACGGUCCAGACUCCUACGGGAGGCAGCAGUGGGGAAUAUUGGACAAUGGGCGCAAGCCUGAUCCAGCCAUGCCGCGUGGGUGAAGAAGGCCUUCGGGUUGUAAAGCCCUUUUGUCCGGAAAGAAAAGCCGUCGGUUAAUACCCGAUGGUCCUGACGGUACCGGAAGAAUAAGCACCGGCUAACUUCGUGCCAGCAGCCGCGGUAAUACGAAGGGUGCAAGCGUUACUCGGAAUUACUGGGCGUAAAGCGUGCGUAGGUGGUUCGUUAAGUCCGAUGUGAAAGCCCUGGGCUCAACCUGGGAAUGGCAUGGGAUACUGGCGGGCUAGAGUGCGGUAGAGGGCAGUGGAAUUCCCGGUGUAGCAGUGAAAUGCGUAGAGAUCGGGAGGAACAUCCGUGGCGAAGGCGACUGCCUGGACCAGCACUGACACUGAGGCACGAAAGCGUGGGGAGCAAACAGGAUUAGAUACCCUGGUAGUCCACGCCCUAAACGAUGCGAACUGGAUGUUGGGUGCAACUAGGCACUCAGUAUCGAAGCUAACGCGUUAAGUUCGCCGCCUGGGGAGUACGGUCGCAAGACUGAAACUCAAAGGAAUUGACGGGGGCCCGCACAAGCGGUGGAGUAUGUGGUUAAUUCGAUGCACGCGCAGACCUUACCUGGCCUUGACUCCCACGAACCUUCCAGAGAUGGGAGGGUGCUUCGGGAACCGUGAAACGGUGCUGCUGGCUGUCCUCAGCUCGGGUCCUGAAAUGUUGGGUUAGUCCCGCACAAGCGCACCCUUGCCCUAUUUGCAACCGAAUGGUGGAAUCUAGGGAA
rnacentral:rRNA from 1 species